GGGUUGUGAGGUUAAGCGACUAAGCGUACACGGUGGAUGCCCUGGCAGUCAGAGGCGAUGAAGGGCGUGCUAAUCUGCGAUAAGCGCCGGUAAGGUGAUAUGAACCGUUAUAACCGGCGAUACCCGAAUGGGGAAACCCAGUGUGAUUCGUCACACUAUCAUUAACUGAAUCCAUAGGUUAAUGAGGCGAACCGGGGGAACUGAAACAUCUAAGUACCCCGAGGAAAAGAAAUCAACCGAGAUUCCCCCAGUAGCGGCGAGCGAACGGGGAGGAGCCCAGAGCCUGAAUCAGCAUGUGUGUUAGUGGAAGCGUCUGGAAAGGCGCGCGAUACAGGGUGACAGCCCCGUACACAAAAGCGCAUGUGCUGUGAGCUCGAUGAGUAGGGCGGGACACGUGGUAUCCUGUCUGAAUAUGGGGGGACCAUCCUCCAAGGCUAAAUACUCCUGACUGACCGAUAGUGAACCAGUACCGUGAGGGAAAGGCGAAAAGAACCCCGGCGAGGGGAGUGAAAAAGAACCUGAAACCGUGUACGUACAAGCAGUGGGAGCCCCACCACUAAGCCAGUGGUGAACUCCACAUACGCAUCCUUUGCUGAGGAUACGGUUAACGGAGCGAAAGCGACGUUCAACCUCAAAAGAAGCAGAGGGGGCUUAGUGGUGGGGUGACUGCGUACCUUUUGUAUAAUGGGUCAGCGACUUAUAUUCUGUAGCAAGGUUAACCGAAUAGGGGAGCCGGAGGGAAACCGAGUCUUAAUUGGGCGUUAAGUUGCAGGGUAUAGACCCGAAACCCGGUGAUCUAGCCAUGGGCAGGUUGAAGGUUGGGUAACACUAACUGGAGGACCGAACCGACUAAUGUUGAAAAAUUAGCGGAUGACCUGUGGCUGGGGGUGAAAGGCCAAUCAAACCGGGAGAUAGCUGGUUCUCCCCGAAAGCUAUUUAGGUAGCGCCUCGUGAAUUCAUCUCCGGGGGUAGAGCACUGUUUCGGCUAGGGGGCCAUCCCGGCUUACCAACCCGAUGCAAACUGCGAAUACCGGAGAAUGUUAUCACGGGAGACACACGGCGGGUGCUAACGUCCGUCGUGAAGAGGGAAACAACCCAGACCGCCAGCUAAGGUCCCAAAGUCAUGGUUAAGUGGGAAACGAUGUGGGAAGGCCCAGACAGCCAGGAUGUUGGCUUAGAAGCAGCCAUCAUUUAAAGAAAGCGUAAUAGCUCACUGGUCGAGUCGGCCUGCGCGGAAGAUGUAACGGGGCUAAACCAUGCACCGAAGCUGCGGCAGCGAACGUAUCACCCAAGACAACUUUACGGAGUUAACGAUUGACGGAGCGAAGCGACGUCAAAGCGUUCAUUAAAGUCGAGUUGGCUUAGGGAUACGUUCGUUGGGUAGGGGAGCGUUCUGUAAGCCUGUGAAGGUGGCCUGUGAGGGUUGCUGGAGGUAUCAGAAGUGCGAAUGCUGACAUAAGUAACGAUAAAGCGGGUGAAAAGCCCGCUCGCCGGAAGACCAAGGGUUCCUGUCCAACGUUAAUCGGGGCAGGGUGAGUCGACCCCUAAGGCGAGGCCGAAAGGCGUAGUCGAUGGGAAACGGGUUAAUAUUCCCGUACUUGGUGUUACUGCGAAGGGGGGACGGAGAAGGCUAUGUUGGCCGGGCGACGGUUGUCCCGGUUUAAGCGUGUAGGUGUGUGUUCCAGGUAAAUCCGGUUCACUUUAACACUGAGGCGUGACGACGAGGCACUACGGUGCUGAAGCAACAAAUGCCCUGCUUCCAGGAAAAGCCUCUAAGCAUCAGGUAACAUCAAAUCGUACCCCAAACCGACACAGGUGGUCAGGUAGAGAAUACCAAGGCGCUUGAGAGAACUCGGGUGAAGGAACUAGGCAAAAUGGUGCCGUAACUUCGGGAGAAGGCACGCUGACACGUAGGUGAAGUGAUUUACUCAUGGAGCUGAAGUCAGUCGAAGAUACCAGCUGGCUGCAACUGUUUAUUAAAAACACAGCACUGUGCAAACACGAAAGUGGACGUAUACGGUGUGACGCCUGCCCGGUGCCGGAAGGUUAAUUGAUGGGGUCAGCGCAAGCGAAGCUCCUGAUCGAAGCCCCGGUAAACGGCGGCCGUAACUAUAACGGUCCUAAGGUAGCGAAAUUCCUUGUCGGGUAAGUUCCGACCUGCACGAAUGGCGUAAUGAUGGCCAGGCUGUCUCCACCCGAGACUCAGUGAAAUUGAACUCGCUGUGAAGAUGCAGUGUACCCGCGGCAAGACGGAAAGACCCCGUGAACCUUUACUAUAGCUUGACACUGAACAUUGAGCCUUGAUGUGUAGGAUAGGUGGGAGGCUUUGAAGUGUGGACGCCAGUCUGCAUGGAGCCGACCUUGAAAUACCACCCUUUAAUGUUUGAUGUUCUAACGUGGACCCGUGAUCCGGGUUGCGGACAGUGUCUGGUGGGUAGUUUGACUGGGGCGGUCUCCUCCUAAAGAGUAACGGAGGAGCACGAAGGUUGGCUAAUCCUGGUCGGACAUCAGGAGGUUAGUGCAAUGGCAUAAGCCAGCUUGACUGCGAGCGUGACGGCGCGAGCAGGUGCGAAAGCAGGUCAUAGUGAUCCGGUGGUUCUGAAUGGAAGGGCCAUCGCUCAACGGAUAAAAGGUACUCCGGGGAUAACAGGCUGAUACCGCCCAAGAGUUCAUAUCGACGGCGGUGUUUGGCACCUCGAUGUCGGCUCAUCACAUCCUGGGGCUGAAGUAGGUCCCAAGGGUAUGGCUGUUCGCCAUUUAAAGUGGUACGCGAGCUGGGUUUAGAACGUCGUGAGACAGUUCGGUCCCUAUCUGCCGUGGGCGCUGGAGAACUGAGGGGGGCUGCUCCUAGUACGAGAGGACCGGAGUGGACGCAUCACUGGUGUUCGGGUUGUCAUGCCAAUGGCACUGCCCGGUAGCUAAAUGCGGAAGAGAUAAGUGCUGAAAGCAUCUAAGCACGAAACUUGCCCCGAGAUGAGUUCUCCCUGAGACUUAGAGUCUCCUGAAGGAACGUUGAAGACGACGACGUUGAUAGGCCGGGUGUGUAAGCGCAGCGAUGCGUUGAGCUAACCGGUACUAAUGAACCGUGAGGCUUAACCUUACAACGCCGAAG
rnacentral:rRNA from 1 species